UUUCAUCAGAUGCAGGGGCCAAACUAGAAGGGUUAAAAUUUAAAUAGCAGUUUUUACCAAAGUAUGGUUGCCACUAUAUUUCAAUCCUGCUUCCCAAUCAUUAAAUGGGGAUCAUAACAGCAUCUAAAUUGUGAAAGAUAAUAAGAUGAAGUAUGUAAAAUGCUUAGUACAGAGCCUGACACAAAAUAAUGUCAACUACAUGUGUCAAUACCUCAACAUCCUUAUUUUAUUUCCAAGAACCUAGAGCUGGAGUGCAAAUGGAAUCAUCCAUGUUCUGUGGUGGCUCUCAGAGGUGCAGACGUGACAGGAACCAUCCUGUGGGGGAGGGGGUCCUGGGCCUUGAGGAGGCUGUGGGAGGGGCCCAGGUCUGUUUCUCCACCGAGGCACUAUUGGCAUUUUGGACAAGGUAAUCUUUUGUUGGGAGGGGCCAUCCUGUGAAUUUUAGAAUGUUUAGCAGCAUCUCGGACCUCUUCUUACUAUGGGCAAUUAUUAGCAACCUUCUAGUUGUGACAAUAAAAAUAAAAUUAAAAAAACAACAUGCCUCUAGACUUUGCCACAUGAUGGGGGGGGGGGGGCAAAAUUACCCUUGGUUGAAAAAUAAUGGUCUGUGCAGGUAGGGAAGUUUGGGGGCAUCCCCAAAGAUACCUGGCUGAGCCAAGCUGGGGAGGCGGGAAGGAGUGUGAUCGGGAUGGAGGCUCCCCUUCCCUAGGCAGGACUCAGGUUGGCCCUCAGGGUUGAGUCCAGGGGUUGGUCUUGGGACAUCCCCCACCCCCACCCCGCCACACCCCCUGAUUUCCCCUAGUAAACAUGUGGCCUAGGAUGUGAACUUCCAGCAUUCCUAUAUAGUAACCAGUAACCAGCCUAAGGGAAUAGUGACCAAUCAGAGGGCUAUAGGGGAAUUGGAUUGGCAGCCUUUAUAGGGAAAAAGAACUCAGUGGGACCCUCUCCCCCUCCUCACGUGGGAGACCAUUCUAUGGGACUCUUUCCCUCUCCCCACGCGGAGUCUGUACUUGUUCUUCAAUAAAUCUCCACCUUUGCUGUACCACCUUCUGUCCGUGGAUUCAUUCUUCGGAUCCGGCGGACAAAGAAUCCAGGUUCCAGUCCAAAAAUUCCAUUUCCGUAGGAAGGUGUGGGCCCUGUGGGUUUUUGUCUGUUUCCUAAAGGCAGGGAGGAAUUUUAAGGGAGGUCUCAGGGGAGGAUCUCAAUAGAAUAUUCACAUCAGCUUUGCAGGUGUGUCCUUUAAUACGAUGAUUCAUCGAAAUGAGCGAGUGUAGAGAGUCAGUGUCACGGUCUCUGGCGAUCAGUCGGUGCUAGGGUAGGGGUCCUGAUUACAAGUUGGUUUUACCUGUUCACUUUGGUUUUGCUGCUUUUCUGGGCCAAAGCUAAAACACAAUUGACGCCUAGAUGUUCUAGUUUGACCAAAACUCUUGUCUCUGUGGUCAACAGACCGGAAGCUUUGUUCCAGAAGCUUUAUUAUAAUAGAUGCUGGUCAGACCCUCCUUGUUCUCAGGGCCAAAGGUUAAGGAAGUGGUCUUGCUGGGAGCAGGAGGCAGGUGAGUCUGGAUGGGGCCCAUGUGAACCCAUUAUCUUCUCAGUUCCCCAUUCCACCCGCUAAUGAAUUUUUAUAGCUUCUCACUGUCCUGCCUCCCCGUGGCCGAGGUCCAGCGGUAGUAUUUCUGUGGAUCCCUGGGGUGAGGGGGCCGUGGAAGGAAAAACUUUCCCUCUACCAGCUUAGGUUUGAGGGGUGAGGGUAGGGGCAGGGGCAUGUGAGUUAACUAACAAUAGACAGAUUCACAAAAGAAAAGGUGAGGUUUGCACGCAUACUAAAAGUGGGCACAAGGACUAAUGAGUAACUCACGGAAUAACCAGACGUAAAGGUUUAGGUUCCAGUUUAACCAGAGCAGGGAUUAGGGCUUUUGUAGGGUUAGGAUGAAGGCUCUGAUGAGGCUUGGCUUGUUGACACAAUUUCUUUGGGCACCUCCCCGGAGCAAUGGGGAUGGGGUCCGGGCAGCUGAUUUCCCUGAAGCUCCAGGCAGUCAGGUGAGAUUUCUAAGGGAAGUGCAGGUGAGAUUUCUUUCUGGUCUGUCCUUGGAUUAUUGGUUCAUCCAGGGAAGCACCUGGAUUCUUUUAUCCUC